rnacentral:miRNA from 1 species
UCUGUGUAUGUAUGUGUGCAUAUGCAUGUGCACAUAUUAUAUUUGCAUAUAUAACACAUAUAAAUAUGUUUGACAUGAAAGCAGACA